GACGUAGGGGGCGAGCGUUGUCCGGAUUUAUUGGGCGUAAAGCGCGCGUAGGCGGUUCGUUAAGUCGGAUGUGAAAAUCCGGGGCUCAACCCCGGACCUGCAUCCGAUACUGGCGGACUGGAGGCAGGCAGGGGAGAUCGGAAUUCCUGGUGUAGCGGUGAAAUGCGCAGAUAUCAGGAGGAACACCGGUGGCGAAGGCGGAUCUCGUGGGCCUGCUCCUGACGCUCAGGCGCGAAAGCUAGGGGAGCAAACAGG
rnacentral:rRNA from 1 species